rnacentral:rRNA from 1 species
CGCAUCUGUGCAUGCAGCAUAUCAAUAAGCGGAGGAAAAGAAACUAACAAGGAUUCCCCUAGUAACGGCGAGUGAAGCGGGAAGAGCUCAAAUUUGAAAUCUUAAAGGGUUUCCCCUUACGAAUUGUAGUUUAAAGAAGUGUUUUCUGUUGAGGUUUUGGUAAAAGUUCUUUGGAAUAGGACAUCCUAGAGGGUGAGAAUCCCGUAUUUGACCUUUACUUUCAACUUUGUGAUACACUUUCAAAGAGUCGGAUUGUUUGGGAAUGCAGUCCAAAAUGGGUGGUAAAUUUCAUCUAAAGCUAAAUAUUGGCGAGAGACCGAUAGCGAACAAGUACCGUGAGGGAAAGACGAAAAGAACUUUGAAAAGAGAGUUAAACAGUACGUGAAAUUGUCAAAAGGGAAGCGUUUGACACCAGUGUUGUUUUUCUGAAAAUCAAUUAAAGAACUGUUUAUGCUAAGUUGUUUAGACUUUAUCAGCUAUCUGUUUAGUUUUGAGCUUUUCUUUAAUGCACUUUUCAGUUAACAAGUCAACAUCAAUUUCUUUUGCUGUAAAAAAGCUUGAGGAAGGUGGCUUGAGAUUCGUCUUAAGUGUUUAUAGCCUCUUGCCUAUGCAGUCGGAGAGAUUGAGGUCUGCAGCGUAGAUCCUUCGGGGCUAAAUGCAUUUGUGCUAAGUUAUAGCAUUUUAUAGACAACUUGUUGACUAUGAUUUGUCUUGUAGCUUACUCGCUUAUGUUAUUUUACCUACGCUUAGGAUGUUGACGAGACUGUCGAUCUC